AAAACGACUCUCGGCAACGGAUAUCUCGGCUCUCGCAUCGAUGAAGAACGUAGCGAAAUGCGAUACUUGGUGUGAAUUGCAGAAUCCCGUGAACCAUCGAGUCUCUGAACGCAAGUUGCGCCCGAAGCCAUUAGGCCGAGGGCACGCCUGCCUGGGCGUCACAC
rnacentral:rRNA from 1 species